GAUGAAGAACGUAGUGAAAUGCGAUAAGUAAUGUGAAUUGCAGAAUUCAGUGAAUCAUCGAAUCUUUGAACGCACAUUGCGCCCAUUAGUAUUCUAGUGGGCAUGCCUGUUCGAGCGUCAUUAAGUCCACUUAAGCCCUGCUUAGUGUUGGGAGACUGCUCCAGCGGUGCUACCCUGUAGCUACCCUGCAGCUCCUCAAAGACAGCGGCGGAGUUGUGGUAUCCUCUGAGCUUAGUAACUUGUUCUAGCUUUCGAGUACACCACUUCCCCUGCCGUAAAACCCUUAAUUUUUAAUGGUUGACCUCGGAUCAGGUAGGAAUACCCGCUGAACUUAAGCAUAUCAAUAAGCGGAGA
rnacentral:misc_RNA from 1 species